CUGCUCCCUCGCGAUCCUGCUGCUGACCCAGGUGAGGCCCUGGGCAAGGAGGACCCGGACCGGGAGGAAGGCCUGUGGCAACCAGGACUGCCAGCCGCUGAAUGCCCGGCUGCAGCCCGGGCCGGUGUGAGUCCGACACAGAGGGGGAGCUGGAGCUGCCAGCAGCGGAAUACUCGGACGAGCUGGAGGGACCAGAGAGACCCGCCGGAGAGACCGGGAUUUUAAGUUUGACAUGGAGCUUUUCCUGAAGAGGUUUCACACCUGAAGAGCUCAUCUACAUUAAAAAGACUAGCUCCUUCACCUUGUUAAUGUCCUCUAUUGUGAGAGCACACAAAAUUCAUAAGCAAAUAGUCUAGACACUGCCUUCUGAUAUAUUGAACCUGCAUUCAAGCAAGAUGAAAUGCUUUGAACAGACUACAAUCUUCCAUCAGAGCUUGCAGUAGCUGGACAUCUUCUGGUUGACAUGUUUUAAGGAGAGAAUAUUAAAUGUUUUCAAAAACUA